rnacentral:rRNA from 1 species
GACAGAGGAUGCAAGCGUUAUCCGGAAUGAUUGGGCGUAAAGCGUCUGUAGGUGGCUUUUCAAGUCCGCCGUCAAAUCCCAGGGCUCAACCUCGAGACGUCGGUUGAAACCGUAUGGCUAGAGUCCGGAAGAGGAGAGUGGAAUUCCCGGUGUAGCGGUGAAAUGCGCAGAUAUCGGGAAGAACACCUAUGGCGAAGGCAGCUCUCUAGGACGGUACUGACGCUGAGACGCGAAAGCGUGGGGAGCGAACAGG